CAGCUUCUUCGAUGUCAACGAAAUUCUGCACCAAUAAAAAUUAAAAAGUUUUUAAUAUUUUAUUAAUUGAAUCAUCAUUUAAAAUUAAGAAAAAUAUGAGUAUGAUAUUAGAUUUGACAUCAUUCCAUAUCCAGAGUCAUAUUCGGGGUGCAGGGAGAUCGCAGGAUCGAAUUGCACAGUAAUUUUUCACUGAAGAAUAUUUUUGAUAUUUUUAUCAAAAUUUUAUAUCUUUUACGUAGACAUGAUA
rnacentral:lncRNA from 1 species